CAGUGUUAAGUUUUUGUGUUUUGGUCUAUUUUUCUUAAACUAUAAGUAAUAGGUCAACUAUAUAUGUUGUAUAGAAGCAUUGUUAGCUGUACAUGUCUGCCUGGAAUGGUUCAUCUGACCUUGACCUCAUUUUCAAGGUUCAUUGGUCUUUGUUUAGUUAUCUUGGUUAAUGUUAAGUUUAUGGUACAGUUGUUAUAAAGCUUAGCUUUUUACUUAGGACUAUCAACAUAAUAUCAAUGAUUAGUAUAGAAGGCGAGACAUUUCAGCGUGUGCACUCUUGUGAUAAAA
rnacentral:lncRNA from 1 species